rnacentral:rRNA from 1 species
UCGGCGGACGGGUGGAGUAACGCGUGGACAACCUGCCCUAUGCAGGGGGAGUAACAUCCGAAACGGGUGCUAAUACCGCAUAAGCGCACAGUACCGCAUGGUACGGUGUGAAAAGCUGAGGCGGCAUAGGAUGGGUCCGCGUUGGAUUAGGCAGUUGGCGGGGUAACGGCCCACCAAACCGACGAUCCAUAGCCGGCCUGAGAGGGUGGACGGCCACAUUGGGACUGAGACACGGCCCAGACUCCUACGGGAGGCAGCAG